rnacentral:misc_RNA from 13 species
UUCUCUGGACCACUUUUGGGACCAAAUCGCCAUGUUUUUCGUUCCUAUGAUACUAGCUGGAUUCGUGUUAUCCCAGAUGGCACGCCAUAUCCACCUUCUUGGGAUUGGAGAAAGAAAGGCGGUGUAACUGCAGUUAAAGAACAAUCAUAUGAUUGUAAUUCAUGUUAUGCACAUUCCGUAGCAGCAGUGAUAGAAUCAUUGUAUGCGAUCAAAUAUCGUCGAUAUAUUUCCAUAUCAGAAUAUGAAAUGCUUGAUUGUGAUCAUAAUAACAAUGGUUGCAAGAAUGGUAGUAUCAAGAACUCGAUGGAACAUGGAAAAUAUUUCGGCUUCACACAAAUGAUGAAUUAUCCUACGUUAUUGGGGAAUAAUUAUUUCUGUCCAUUAUAUAAUAAAAUUUUCAUUAGAAAAUUAUAUCGAAUUGAUCCUGAUCCAAAUUUAAUGGCUUGGUUUGUGGCAAAUGUGGCACCAGUUGCGUCGAAUCUGGCACUUCCGAAACGGCAUGCAUUUUACAAAUCCGGCGUGUUACCGGAUACCUCUGAAUGCCGGACAAUGAAACUGAAUCAUGCAGCGGUAAUAAUUGGAUAUGGUACAGAAAAUGGCAAGAAAUAUUGGUUAAUGAAAAACAGUUGGGGUGAUUGGUGGGGUGAUCAAGGGUUUUUUAAAAUCGAACGAGGCAUCAAUGCGUGCAGAGUUGAAACCUAUGUGGCAUCGGCUGAUUUGUAA